rnacentral:lncRNA from 1 species
UGUAGUGCUGUUCCUGAAUGAUGAGUCAGUCAAACACCCGAGCAGCAGAACCGGACGCCGCGGCGUGCCAGCCGGACGGCGCGAAACUCAAGGCGGCGGCGACGGUGACGUCAGCGCGUAGCUGCCUCGUCGACGUGCGUUCGGGGUGAACCGCGCCCACGGCAUGGCCGUCGGCGACCUCUCCUUCGUCCGCUGGAUCGGAAGCGCCACCAGCCACCACUCAACCAGGUCGGUCAGCUUCUGGCUGCACGCCAGGUGCUUGUGUUUAUUCCCGUCCGUUCCACUGCGUCCUAGGCUCCUAGCUAGAUAUCUCGAGUAGCAAACUACUGACCGCUGACUCCAUCGGUGCUGCUUCCUCAAGGGAAACAUUGUUACCUGAACCUGCGCUCGCUUUGGCGCUACACAAAAUCAAGUUAGCGUGUCGGUGCAUCAGCAGCUCACAGUGUGUGUGUGGGGCGGUGCGAGCCAUCCCAAGUUUAGCGCAUCGGCAUUGCCAUGCCGGUUCCGACUUAAGAGGCGUAGUAGACUCUGGAUGACGGCGCGCUCCCAUGGUCGUGGGAUGGCGAGACUAGAUUGGAUUUUGAGCGUUUUCUGUUGAAUUAAAGAAGAAGAGAAGCAGAAAAGGCUGCAAAGUUUAAGCUGCACCAGAACACUCUCGUCUCGAGUUCAUCUCUUUUAUGGGCAACAAACAUGUACUCCCAAAACUUUAGAGAGAUAGAGAUAGAACUCUGAAUAUAUUUAGAGAGAUAGAGAUAUUGCUCCGAGUAUUUUUAUGAGAACCCUACAAGAAAAGUUUUCGACAAAUAUUGAGCUGAGUGCAGCUAAAAAUGAUUCAUCCUGCAGCCUGUCUCUGAUAUGUAGGCAGGGUAGUAAGAGCAGCAUCCACCCUUGCUUACCUUCAACAUACUAUGGGUAUGGGAUUCACAUAAGAGUUUAAGCAACAGUUCAGCUGUGUUUUUGGCCAAGCCAUGUAAAAUCUGACCAAGUCCUGCCCCGCGCGCCUACUGUCAAUAGGUAUGCAUGCACAUGUAAACAACAUAGACAACUCGGUCAUCCGAUGCAAUCAAGUUAAGACGUGCUUCUGUAAAUACGGCUAGAGCGUGUUGCCUAGGUAUGAGAGCCAUAUUCAAUGCAAGUAGGUCAUUCGAUGCAAAUCAAGUUAAGACCGGUGGGGAGUUACUGACCUAUGUCUGGCUCCUUCUGUCCAACAUGGGAUCAGACCUUGCCAGAGAGACUGCUGAGAACGGAGCUUCCAAGCGGACAAGGAAAUGCCUGCUCUGCUCUUCCCAGCUCCGCACCACCACUGGAGAAGACAUUGUUUGACAGACGAUGCUUACAUAUGGAGUCGGUUUCUCCCCUGUAUUUCCGUCUUGAUCGGUGCUUGUUUGCUUUAUCCGUGGAAGAUUUGCCUUGAUGUUCACUGUGAUGUAUGUAUGUUUCCUAGUUUCUGUAAGUAUGAAUAAGAUCGGGUCAUGAGAGCCACGCAAUGUCUAUACUUUUCUCUUUCUUUCUUUUCUUGUGGGGAUACAUUUCUCGUUACAAUGUGUGUAAGGAUGGUAUGGGCAUUUGAUUGCCCUGUUGAUAUAUUACUACCCAAAUACUCCCUCCGUCCAGAAUUACUUGUCGCAGAAAU